AACGAACGCUGGCGGCAGGCCUCAAACAUGCAAGUCGAGCGCCCAGCAAUGGGAGCGGCGGACGGGUGAGUAUCGCGUGGGAAUGUACCUAGUGGUUCGGAACAACUCAUGGAAACGUGAGCUAAUACCGGAUGAGCCCGCAAGGGGAAAGAUUCAUCGCCAUUAGAUCAGCCCGCGUCUGAUUAGCUAGUUGGUAGGGUAACGGCCUCACUAAGGCGACGAUCAGUAGCUGUUCUGAGAGGAAGAUCAGCCACACUGGGACUGAGACACGGCCCAGACUCCUACGGGAGGCAGCAGUUGGGAAUCUUGGACAAUGGGCGCAAGCCUGAUCCAGCCAUGCCGCGUGAGUGAUGAAGGCCUUAGGGUUGUAAAGCUCUUUUACCCGGGAAGAUAAUGACUGUACCGGGAGAAUAAGCUCCGGCUAACUUCGUGCCAGCAGCCGCAGUAA
rnacentral:rRNA from 1 species